rnacentral:rRNA from 1 species
AUUGAACGCUGGCGGCAGGCCUAACACAUGCAAGUCGAACGAGUGGCGGACGGGUGAGUAAUGUAUGGGAAACUGCCUGAUGGAGGGGGAUAACUACUGGAAACGGUAGCUAAUACCGCAUACCAUCAGAUGAACCCAGAUGGGAUUAGCUAGUAGGUGGGGUAACGGCUCACCUAGGAGACGAUCCCUAGCUGGUCUGAGAGGAUGAACAGCCACACUGGGACUGAGACACGGUCCAGACUCCUACGGGAGGCAGCAGUGGUGAAUAUUGCACAAUGGGCGCAAGCCUGAUGCAGCCAUGCCGCGUGUAUGAAGAAGGCCUUCGGGUUGUAAAGUACUUUCAGUCGGGAGGCGUUACCGACAGAAGAAGCACCGGCUAACUCCGUGCCAGCAGCCGCGGUAAUAC